GAUGAACGCUAGCUACAGGCUUAACACAUGCAAGUCGAGGGGCAGCAUGGCCUAGCAAUAGGUUGAUGGCGACCGGCGCACGGGUGAGUAACACGUAUCCAACCUGCCGAUUAUUCCGGGAUAGCCUUUCGAAAGAAAGAUUAAUACUGGAUAGCAUAACGAGAAGGCAUCUUCUUGUUAUUAAAGAAUUUCGAUAAUCGAUGGGGAUGCGUUCCAUUAGUUUGUUGGCGGGGUAACGGCCCACCAAGACAUCGAUGGAUAGGGGUUCUGAGAGGAAGGUCCCCCACAUUGGAACUGAGACACGGUCCAAACUCCUACGGGAGGCAGCAGUGAGGAAUAUUGGUCAAUGGACGAGAGUCUGAACCAGCCAAGUAGCGUGAAGGAUGACUGCCCUAUGGGUUGUAAACUUCUUUUAUAUGGGAAUAAAGUGGGCCACGUGUGGCUUUUUGUAUGUACCAUACGAAUAAGGAUCGGCUAACUCCGUG
rnacentral:rRNA from 1 species